rnacentral:lncRNA from 1 species
CUCCAGGGGUGCGUGACAGGUUGGGAGCUGCGGUGGGUCCAGGCAGAAAUGGCUUCCCUGGGAAGGUGCUGCGGAAGAGGCGUCUCUGGAGACGUGCUUCGUGAGGAGAGAAGCUGAAGUGUUGCAAACAACACUGGUUGGGUUGUUUCCUGUCAAUUAUGGAGUGAUGAGGUCAUGCACUUCAUUCUGGCCAGUCAUUGAUAUGAUUUGGCAUUCUCUGCAUGCCAGGCAAGAGUGACUGCUCUUCAGGCCAGAUCUUCCUUCGAGAUGGAUGUUAUCUCCUUUUUAGGAAGGAGGAAACAGAGAGACCUCGUAACUUGGCGUGGCCACACAAUGGGAAUAAAGUGAGUGACCAAGAGGCUGAAUAUCUUCUCCAAAGCCAAAGAACCAGGCAGUGGCAGAGAUCCAAACCCAGGCGAUUCGGGUGCCAGGGCUCAAGCACUUCCCCAUGCAGCCACUGCCUCGAGAAAUAAAAAGACUCACCAGACACUU